rnacentral:tRNA from 1 species
ACUUAAAUAGCUUAAUUUUAGAGUAUAAUAUUGAAGAUAUUAAGGUGGUAAUUUACCUUUAAGUA